rnacentral:rRNA from 1 species
AUUGAACGCUGGCGGCAUGCCUUACACAUGCAAGUCGAACGUGAAAGCGGGGCAACCCGCAAGUAGAGUGGCGGACGGGUGAGUAAUACAUCGGAACGUGUCCAGUAAUGGGGAGUAACCUAGCGAAAGUUAGGCUAAUACCGCAUACGAUCUGCGGAUGAAAGCGGGGGAUGCGGCACUAAAGGCUUUUGGCGGAAGGUGGCCAAAGGUGAGUCAAGAGCUUUUAGUGCNGCACCUCGCGUUAUUGGAGCGGCUGAUGUCUGAUUAGCUAGUUGGUGAGGUAAAGGCUUACCAAGGCGACGAUCAGUAGCUGGUCUGAGAGGACGGCCAGCCACACUGGGACUGAGACACGGCCCAGACCCC